rnacentral:rRNA from 1 species
AACGAACGCUGGCGGCAUGCCUAACACAUGCAAGUCGAACGAGACCUUCGGGUCUAGUGGCGCACGGGGGCGUAACGCGUGGGAACCUGCCCUUAGGUUCGGAAUAACUCCCCGACAGGGGUGCUAAUACCGGAUAAUGUCUUCGGACCAAAGAUUUAUCGCCUUUGGAGGGGCCCGCGUUGGAUUAGCUUGUUGGUAGGGUAAAAGCCUACCACGGCGACGAUCCAUAGCUGGGUAGAGAGGAAGAUCAGCCACUCUGAGACUGGGACACGGCCCAGAAUCUUACGGGAGGCAGGAGUGGGGAAUAGUGGACAAUGGGCGGAGGGAUGAUCCAGCUAUGCCGGGAGAGUGAUGAAGGCCUUAGAGUAGUAAAGCUCUUUUACCCGGGAUGAUAAUGACAGUACCGGGAGAAUAAGCUCCGGCUAACUCCGUG